AGGCUUUGAAGUGUGGACGCCAGUCUGCAUGGAGCCGGCCUUGAAAUACCACCCUUUAAUGUUUGAUGUUCUAACGUGGACCCGUGAUCCGGGUUGCGGACAGUGUCUGGUGGGUAGUUUGACUGGGGCGGUCUCCUCCUAAAGAGUAACGGAGGAGCACGAAGGUUGGCUAAUCCUGGUCGGACAUCAGGAGGUUAGUGCAAUGGCAUAAGCCAGCUUGACUGCGAGCGUGACGGCGCGAGCAGGUGCGAAAGCAGGUCAUAGUGAUCCGGUGGUUCUGAAUGGAAGGGCCAUCGCUCAACGGAUAAAAGGUACUCCGGGGAUAACAGGCUGAUACCGCCCAAGAGUUCAUAUCGACGGCGGUGUUUGGCACCUCGAUGUCGGCUCAUCACAUCCUGGGGCUGAAGUAGGUCCCAAGGGUAUGGCUGUUCGCCAUUUAAAGUGGUACGCGAGCUGGGUUUAGAACGUCGUGAGACAGUUCGGUCCCUAUCUGCCGUGGGCGCUGGAGAACUGAGGGGGGCUGCUCCUAGUACGAGAGGACCGGAGUGGACGCAUCACUGGUGUUCGGGUUGUCAUGCCAAUGGCACUGCCCGGUAGCUAAAUGCGGAAGAGAUAAGUGCUGAAAGCAUCUAAGCACGAAACUUGCCCCGAGAUGAGUUCUCCCUGAGACUUAGAGUCUCCUGAAGGAACGUUGAAGACGACGACGUUGAUAGGCCGGGUGUGUAAGCGCAGCGAUGCGUUGAGCUAACCGGUACUAAUGAACCGUGAGGCUUAACCUUACA
rnacentral:rRNA from 1 species